rnacentral:piRNA from 1 species
UCCCAGGGUGACUGUUGCCUCAACCUCAGA